UUAACGAACGAGACCCCCGCCUGCUAACUAGCUGACAUAAUGCUUUAGUCAUUGUGUGCAGAUACUUCUUAGAGGGACUUUCGGUGACUAACCGAAGGAAGUUGGGGGCAAUAACAGGUCUGUGAUGCCCUUAGAUGUCCUGGGCUGCACGCGCGCUACACUGAUGCAUGCAACGAGUAUACAACCUUGGCCGGUAGGCCUGGGUAAUCUUUUUAACGUGCAUCGUGAUAGGGAUAGAUUAUUGCAAUUAUUAAUCUUGAACGAGGAAUUCCUAGUAAACGCGAUUCAUCAGAUCGCAUUGAUUACGUCCCUGCCCUUUGUACACACCGCCCGUCGCACCUACCGAUUGAAUGAUUCGGUGAAGAUUCCGGACCGAGGCUGCCUCCUCAUUAGUUUGUGGUGGUGCCUUGGGAAGCUAUCUAAACCUCAUCAUUUAGAGGAAGGUGAAGU
rnacentral:rRNA from 1 species